rnacentral:rRNA from 1 species
AACGAACGCUGGCGGCAUGCCUAACACAUGCAAGUCGAACGAGACCUUCGGGUCUAGUGGCGCACGGGUGCGUAACGCGUGGGAAUCUGCCCUUGGGUUCGGAAUAACAGUUGGAAACGACUGCUAAUACCGGAUGAUGACGUAAGUCCAAAGAUUUAUCGCCCAAGGAUGAGCCCGCGUAGGAUUAGCUAGUUGGUGAGGUAAAGGCUCACCAAGGCGACGAUCCUUAGCUGGUCUGAGAGGAUGAUCAGCCACACUGGGACUGAGACACGGCCCAGACUCCUACGGGAGGCAGCAGUGGGGAAUAUUGGACAAUGGGCGAAAGCCUGAUCCAGCAAUGCCGCGUGAGUGAUGAAGGCUUUAGGGUUGUAAAGCUCUUUUACCCGGGAUGAUAAUGACAGUACCGGGAGAAUAAGCUCCGGCUAACUCCGUG